UUAAGCUGCAACUGGAUUGUUGAUCUUCAUUCGAGAGAGAAGAAGCCUUUGGUUCCCUGGAAUCACCUUAUUUGGUGUACUCCAUACGCCUCCCCUUCCUCGUAACGGGUAUCAAGCAUCAAUUGGAUGUCUCGAGCAUGGGAAUGGAGCUGUAAUGUCUUUAUUGUGUAAUUGAUAGCAACAGCCAGGAAAUCAAUAGCUCCGCUUUGCUUUCGUUCUGGCAUUGUUCCAUAACUUAGUAGAAAUUGUCAGGUUAGUUGAAGGAAGGUAAUAUUUGUCAAAAAUAUGAGGUAAUAAUCUUUUUGUUCUUAUUGAUCUUGAAUGAUAACCAACUCUAUUAUAAAUAGAGUUGUACAAUUAGGGUUAGAGUCCAAGUCCUUAUAGGAAAAGACUACUAGAGUCCAAAAUGAUGUAUGGGAUAUGAUGGAUGCUGUGUUUAGAUAUGAACUCCAAUCUUCUCUGUGUUUUUCCUGCUUGCCUUUCCUUGUUGAUUUGUUGCAUGAACUGAUGGUUGACAUUUUCGAUCUUUUUGUUGUUGCUUCUAAUUAGGAUCGUACAUAUGCGAUGGUGGGCUUCUUGUCUAUGACAUGUAGCAGUUCUGUUCUACUAUAGGCCAAGAAACAGUGAUAGAAUUUUGGUGAAGGAGACUGGGAAUUUAAUUUUUGGUAUGACAGGAAAAAGAAGAGAUAAACUUAAGCUGCAACUGGAUUGUUGAUCUUCAUUCGAGAGAGAAGAAGCCUUUGGUUCCCUGGAAUCACCUUAUUUGGUGUACUCCAUACGCCUCCCCUUCCUCGUAACGGGUAUCAAGCAUCAAUUGGAUGUCUCGAGCAUGGGAAUGGAGCUGUAAUGUCUUUAUUGUGUAAAUGAUAGCAACAGCCAGGAAAUCAAUAGCUCCGCUUUGCUUUCGUUCUGGCAUUGUUCCAUAACUUAGUAGAAAUUGUCAGGUUAGUUGAAGGAAGGUAAUAUUUGUCAAAAAUAUGAGGUAAUAAUCUUUUUGUUCUUAUUGAUCUUGAAUGAUAACCAACUCUAUUAUAAAUAAAGCUGUACAACUAGGGUUAGAG
rnacentral:lncRNA from 1 species